CUUCCUCUUCCGGCCGACUCCGGACGUAAUCCGGCCACCCCCAAGCUCGGUUUCUUCCCCCGGUCACGUCUCUGGAGGUAUAUUUGGACGAUUUGGCCGGAAAAGCUCGGAUCGAAGGAAAUUCCUCCCCGGUUGCAGUUUUGGGAUUUUGCCGAUUUCCGGCCAUUCCGGCCACCUCCGGCCGCCAUAUUCCCAUCGAAGGGUUCUUGGAGCUUCGGGGCUUUCCUUCACCGGCUCGAUUCGGCCACUUAGAGGACGAGAGGAGUCUCCAUACGAGGAGAACCACGAGCGACGUCAGGAUUGACCGCAUAUUAUUGCAGUACUGUUGCUCGGUGUACGAGGGUGAGCCAUAGUGACCGUACCUGCUUCCGCCAUCACAUUCUGUAGGUUACCUGGUUAACCUACUGUAUUCCUUGUCUAUUUAUAUUCCUAGAAUGCUCUGAUUACUAAGGGAUAUGUGACCCAACUUAUAUGUAUUAUAUUUGAGGUCUAUGGCCUAACUUUGGUGAUUGUAGUAACUUGUACCUUUCGGAGAUUAUGUAUGAUGUUUUUAACUUUGAGACGGAUUUGGAGGAAUUUGGGAGCAGGGUGGCUCCAGGAGUUAUGGUUGGAUGAUUAGAAGUGAAUUUUGGUUUUCCGCAGG